CCUACGGGUGGCAGCAGUGGGGGAUAUUGCACAAUGGGGGGAACCCUGAUGCAGCGACGCCGCGUGGGUGAAGAAGCGCCUCGGCGCGUAAAGCCCUGUCAGCAGGGAAGAAAAUGACGGUACCUGAAGAAGAAGCCCCGGCUAACUACGUGCCAGCAGCCGCGGUAAUACGUAGGGGGCAAGCGUUAUCCGGAUUUACUGGGUGUAAAGGGGGCGCAGACGGCGAUGCAGGCCAGGAGUGAAAGCCCGGGGCUCAACCCCGGGACUGCACUUGGAACUGGCUGGCUGGAGUGCAGGAGGGGCAGGCGGAAUUCGUGGUGUAGCGGUGAAAUGCGUAGAUAGCAGGAGGAACACCGGUGGCGAAGGCGGCCUGCGGGACUGCAACUGACGUUGAGGCCCGAAAGCGUGGGGAGCAAACAGGAUUAGAUACCCUUGUAGUC
rnacentral:rRNA from 1 species